UACGUAGGGGGCAAGCGUUGUCCGGAUUUAUUGGGCGUAAAGAGCGUGUAGGCGGCCGUACAGGUCAGCUGUGAAAACUCGAGGCUCAACCUCGAGACGUCGGUUGAAACCGUACGGCUAGAGUCCGGAAGAGGAGAGUGGAAUUCCCGGUGUAGCGGUGAAAUGCGCAGAUAUCGGAAAGAACACCCGUGGCGAAGGCGGCUCUCUGGGACGGUACUGACGCUGAGACGCGAAAGCGUGGGGAGCGAACAGG
rnacentral:rRNA from 1 species